rnacentral:rRNA from 1 species
UAGCAAUACUUAGUGGCAGACGGGUGAGUAACAUGUGGGUAUCUGCCCUUUGGCCCGGAAUAACACGAGGAAACUUGUGCUAAUACCGGAUAAGUCUUUACGGAGAAAGCUUUAUGCACCAUUGGAUGAGCCCGCACUUGAUUAGUUUGUUGGUGGGGUAAUGGCCUACCAAGACUGUGAUCAAUAGCUGAUUUGAGAGGAUGAUCAGCCACAUUGGGACUGAGACACGGCCCAAACUCCUACGGGAGGCAGCAGUGGGGAAUCUUGCACAAUGGAGGAAACUCUGAUGCAGCGAUGCCGCGUGAGUGAAGAAGGCCCUUGGGUUGUAAAGCUCUUUCGUCGGGGAAGAAAAUGACUGUACCCGAAUAAGAAGGUCCGGCUAACUUCGUGCCAGCAGCCGCGGUAAUACGAAGGGACCUAGCGUAGUUCGGAAUUACUGGGCUUAAAGAGUUCGUAGGUGGUUGAAAAAGUUAGUGGUGAAAUCCCAGAGCUUAACUCUGGAACUGCCAUUAAAACUUUUCAGCUAGAGUAUGAUAGAGGAAAGCAGAAUUUCUAGUGUAGAGGUGAAAUUCGUAGAUAUUAGAAAGAAUACCAAUUGCGAAGGCAGCUUUCUGGAUCAUUACUGACACUGAGGAACGAAAGCAUGGGUAGCGAAGAGGAUUAGAUACCCUCGUAGUCCAUGCCGUAAACGAUGUGUGUUAGACGUUGGAAAUUUAUUUUCAGUGUCGCAGCGAAAGCGAUAAACACACCGCCUGGGGAGUACGACCGCAAGGUUAAAACUCAAAGGAAUUGACGG